AUCGUAAAGNUCUNUGUAAGAGAAAAACGAUGGAUAUAGGAAAUGAUGNCCAAGUGAUGGUAUCUUACCAGAANNNACGGCUAACUACGUGCCAGCAGCCGCGGUAAUACGUAGGUGGCAAGCGUUAUCCGGAAUGAUUGGGCGUAAAGGGUGCGUAGGUGGUGCAUUAAGUCUGAAGUAAAAGCCAGCAGCUCAACUGCUGUAAGCUUUGGAAACUGGUGUACUAGAGUGCAGGAGAGGGCGAUGGAAUUCCAUGUGUAGCGGUAAAAUGCGUAGAUAUAUGGAGGAACACCAGUGGCGAAGGCGGUCGCCUGGCCUGUAACUGACACUGAGGCACGAAAGCGUGGGGAGCAAAUAGGAUUAGAUACCCUAGUAGUCCACGCCGUAAACGAUGAGAACUAAGUGUUGGAGAGAUUCAGUGCUGCAGUUAACGCAAUAAGUUCUCCGCCUGGGGAGUAUGCACGCAAGUGUGAAACUCAAAGGAAUUGACGGGGGCCCGCACAAGCGGUGGAGUAUGUGGUUUAAUUCGAAGCAACGCGAAGAACCUUACCAGGCCUUGACAUGGAUAUAAAUGUUCUAGAGAUAGAAAGAUAGCUAUAUAUCACACAGGUGGUGCAUGGUUGUCGUCAGCUCGUGUCGUGAGAUGUUGGGUUAAGUCCCGCAACGAGCGCAACCCUUGUCGCAUGUUACCAGCAUUCAGUUGGGGACUCAUGUGAGACUGCCGGUGACAAACCGGAGGAAGGUGGGGAUGACGUCAAAUCAUCAUGCCCCUUAUGGCCUGGGCUACACACGUACUACAAUGGCGUCUACAAAGAGGAGCGACACAGUGAUGUGAAGCAAAUCUCAUAAAGGACGUCUCAGUUCGGAUUGAAGUCUGCAACUCGACUUCAUGAAGUCGGAAUCGCUAGUAAUCGCAGAUCAGCAUGCUGCGGUGAAUACGUUCUCGGGCCUUGUACACACCGCCCGUCAAACCAUGGGAGUUGGUAAUACCCGAAGCCGGUGGCAUAACCGCA
rnacentral:rRNA from 2 species